AGGGUAUUCUGGAUGAAGCCACCUAAAAGGACAUUGGAGCCAAACCUUUAAACAGAAGAUCACAGUCCUGCUGCAGCCAUUGCUGGGUUAUUUUCCCGAGCUGCCAAGGAUCCAACUGUGCUCAUUUGGGAUUUGUCUGCAUGGAGUUUCCUGUAAGAUCGAGACUUUUGCUGCUUGGAAAAAAGAGAGUCCAAUUCAUUAUGUUUGACUGGCACCUAGGAAAAUGAAGCUUUAACUGGAAAGGAAGCCACUGGGUGCUGGGAAGAAGCUUGCUGCCUACCCUUUUCCAGGGGACCUCACUCAGAGAACUGAGAAGGUUGUUUCCACACUGCAUGGGUUUGCCAUCAGCUGUGACUUGUACUCCCUCAGAUUUCCGUGGUAUUUGCAGCGAGAUGAGUAGAUGUGACUGUGCCUCUUUUACUCUAUUGCUUCUGUAAAGCUAUCAGUUUUGAAUUACAAUCAGGUGCAGUGUCUGGCACUGUGUUUAUACACUUUCAAAGGGGUCACGAUUAGCCGUGGCCCUGGAAGAACAGGAAAGGGAGCUCCUGUAGACAGAUCUGCUCACUGCACCAGCCUUCUGCAUUUCCUCCCCAUUUUUUAAUCAUGCUUACCUUCAGAUUUAUAAGAUGCCAAGACAGAGCAGCUUUUUGACUGCUAUUUAGCAUAACCCCUGCUUCCCUUAAUAAUAUAAUUCCUAUCUAAUUUAAGGUAAUACUCUGGUUUGUGAAUUUUCCCACCUACACUUUUACUUCUUCUGCUCUAUACAGAGGGGUAGGACAGGUGAUGGUCAGAAAAUUCACCAAAAAGAA
rnacentral:lncRNA from 1 species